rnacentral:rRNA from 1 species
GACGAACCGUGCGAACGUUAUUCGGAAUCACUGGGCUUAAAGCGCGUGUAGGCGGGAGGGCACGUCCGUUGCUGAAAUCCCCCGGCUCAACCGGGGAACGGGCGCGGAUACGACUCUCCUUGAGGGGCGUAGGGGGACCUGGAACUUCCGGUGGAGCGGUGAAAUGCGUUGAGAUCGGAAGGAACGCCCGUGGCGAAAGCGAGGUCCUGGACGCCUACUGACGCUGAGACGCGAAAGCCAGGGGAGACGAACGGG